rnacentral:tRNA from 1 species
GAUGCAGUAGCGCAGUGGUAGUGUCUCCUGUUGGCCAUCGAAAGGUGCAGGGUUCGAGUCCCUGGUGGUGCA